UGCUGUUGGCAGUUGGCAUCAUUGCAGCGA
rnacentral:piRNA from 1 species